rnacentral:rRNA from 1 species
UACGGAGGAUGCGAGCGUUAUCCGGAUUUAUUGGGUUUAAAGGGUGCGUAGGCGGAUCGUUAAGUCAGUGGUCAAAUUGAGGGGCUCAACCCCUUCCCGCCAUUGAAACUGGCGAUCUUGAGUGGAAGAGAAGUAUGCGGAAUGCGUGGUGUAGCGGUGAAAUGCAUAGAUAUAUGGAAGAACACCAGUGGCGAAAGCGGCUCUCUGGUCUGUAACUGACGCUGAGGUUCGAAAGCGUGGGUAGCAAACAGG